AUUGAACGCUGGCGGCAUGCCUUACACAUGCAAGUCGAACGGCAGCGCGGACAUCGCUCUGGCUGCGAGUGGCGAACGGGUGAGUAAUACAUCGGAACGUACCCUGCUGCGGGGGAUAACUAGUCGACAGAUUAGCUCAUACCGCAUACGACCUGAGGGCCUAAGUGGGGGAGCGCAAGGUCUUACGCACCAGCAGCGGCCGAUGUCCGAUUAGCUAGUUGGUGGGGUAAAGGCCCACCAAGGCGACGAUCAGUAGCUGGUCUGAGAGGACGAUCAGCCACACUGGAACUGAGACACGGCCCAGACUCCUACGGGAGGCAGCAGUGGGGAAUUUUGGACAAUGGGGGCAAGCCUGAUCCAGCAAUGCCGCGUGUGUGAAGAAGGCCUUCGGGUUGUAAAGCACUUUUGUCCGGAAAGAAAUGGCGCUGGUUAAUACCUGGCGUGGAUGACGGUACCGGAAGAAUAAGCACCGGCUAACUACGUG
rnacentral:rRNA from 1 species